UUCAGGUCUUCUGAAUGCAUUUCCAGACGGAUCUGCUGAAUUUUAGUUGAGGAAAAACCUGAUGAGUCGCGUGGAGCAAAUCUUAGCAUUGUGGUCUCUUCAAUUCUCUACUUUACUUUGAAUGAAAAUACCUGCUCUCUUCAUUACUACUGCUGAAGAAUUCCUGGGAAAAUGUUGAAAUCAAGUCUCUGAUGAGAUAAUACUAGUCCUAACUCUUAAACAAAAUCGAAGCUCACACUUAAUGAAGUUCCAAUGAUGUGUUCUCAGAAAAAGACCAAAUAAAGAAGUUCCCAGAUGAGUACAACAUGCACUUGACUUUUGUCUAUAAGAGCAAUCACUCACUGAAACGUUUUCCACAUGUUUAGGUAUUUCCUCAUCUAUCUAUAGGAAAGGCCUCAAAGGAGUAAGACCCAUAGUGUUCCACGGCUCGAUAUAUGUGGUAAUGAUUUGCUAUUAUAAUGAUAAUUAUAUAUGGAACUGUUCCGCUUCCGGUUCAGGACUGAAUGCUGACUGUUAAAAUACCCAUGAUCUCAUUAGCAUAUUUGUAAGAUCCUGACAGGAAGCUAAAGGACUAUUAAUCCUUCUAGUGAAAGAAAAUUUCCAUAUGACAGUUACUGGAAUGAAAAUUCCAUGAAGGGUUCAAAAGCAUACAAACAAUAAAUUUAAUGUAAUCAUUUCAAAGAAAUUUCUCAUUUUGUUAAAAAAAAAAAAAGAGGGUUUUUUUGUUUUGUUCUGUUAAGACGUUUGAUAUAGUGGAAUCGAUUGUGUUAGAAUCAAAACUGUGAAGUAAAUGACAGAGAAACUAUUCACCAAAGCAUAAGGACACUCGACUGCUUGCUUUUCCUUUAAGGUAAGACUCAAGGAUCUUCACAGUGUGGGUCAGGUGGUUGGACUGUUCUCGCGCAUCAGUGAGGGGACAGGGGCACAAAAGAGGAAGUGGAGGAUGUAGGAGCUUCCGGUACUUCUCCUUGCCCUGGAGGGUGCAGGGUCCACACUGACUCCAGGCUCCGUGGGCCACAGCAGCAGCGGAGGGGCGUGGAGAGCCCCCCUGGCCUACCGCACUGGUCCUCCCAUCUCAGCCUGGGUAAGACUCAACGAAAAAACUGAAAAAAUGCUGAUUAUCAGACCCAUCCGUAGAAAUUCUGAUUCAGUAGGUUUGGGCUCUGGCUCAGGAAUCUCUUCAACAGCAAAACCCAGGCACUUGUCCGUACUUGCCGCUGCGGCCUCUGGCUGCAUCCACUCCUCACCCUUCAGCCUCCAAACCCUCGUUCCUUCCGUCACUUCGUGAAACAGGCUCCCACCGAGGUCGCUCGCGGUUUUCUUGUUGCAAAAUCCUAAAGAGAGCAUUGGGGUCAAGGCUGUGGAAGAAAUGGAAUUUUCUAUCUCACUUCCCACAACACAAUUCUUGAGAAGAGGUGAAGACUUCUAACAAAGGAUAAAUCUACCAUUUCAUUAAGAAAUGAGGAAGCACGGAAUAAGUAAGUCAGAAAAUCUGAGGAGCUCUUGAAAGAUUAACAGCAAGUGGAGAGGCUUGAGGGAGACUAAGAAUGGAGAAGCAGGAGUCAAACCACCACACAGAAGAAAAGUGAGAGAGGUUUCGGAUACUUCAAAGUGAAAAAUUAAAACAGUUGCCUAAGAGCUUUGCCUCUAUUGUCCCUCUCCACUCUUUCACUAAGCUGUGCAGCACUGUGUAUACGGAGGCUAAUACCUGAGAAUUGUUCUCGAAAUCAAGUAGGUAAUCUUAGGGGGGUUCUCUUUUAAGAAUAAUGGGGCCUAAUUUAUGUCAGCAUUUAGAUAACAUAAAUACCAAUUUAUGUCAUCACUGAAAUAAAAACAUAAAUAACAAGAACUACUAAUGCUAAUAAAGUGCCUACUAUGUGCCAGGCCCUGUUCUAAGCAGCUUAUGUGUAUUGACUCAUUUAUUAUGCACAAUAACCCUACAAGGUUGAUCCUGCUACUUUCUCCAUUUCAAUGAAAAACAGAGACAUCAGGUGGCCUGCCCAGGGUCGUACGGCUACUGCAUGGCCGAACUGCAAUAAAAGCUCGGGUUGCUACAGAGGUCUGUGUGUUUAGACAGAGGCGCUCCAGAUCUCAAGAGCAAUCACAGAUGGGGAAAAAAAGGCAAAACAAGUAGGCCCAGGAGGAAAGUACAUGAGAUGCUGUACGGUGUGGACCUUUUUAUUCUGGAAAUUGGGUGGAGUACUGUUUGGUCCCAUUAUACAUCCCAAACAGUUGACAAAAUUCAUGCUCACUACCUAUCCC